rnacentral:rRNA from 1 species
GAUGAACGCUGGCGGCGUGCUUAACACAUGCAAGUCGAGCGAAGCUGUUAAAAGGAAGUCUUCGGAUGGAAUUUUAACAGACUUAGAGGCGGACGGGUGAGUAACGCGUGGAUAACCUGCCUUAUACAGGGGGAUAACGGAGAGAAAUUUCCGCUAAGACCGCAUAAGACCACAGCACCGCAUGGUGCAGGGGUAAAAUAUUAAUAGGUAUAAGAUGGAUCCGCGUCCGAUUAGCUAGUUGGUGAGGUAGAGGCUCACCAAGGCGACGAUCGGUAGCCGGCCUGAGAGGGUGAACGGCCACAUUGGGACUGAGACACGGCCCAAACUCCUACGGGAGGCAGCAGUGGGGAAUAUUGGACAAUGGGGGAAACCCUGAUCCCAGCGACGCCCGGCGUGAGUGAAAGAAAGUAUUUUCGGUAAUGUAAAAG